AUGGCGGCCAGAGCAGCUGCGGCCGUGGCCGUCGUGGCCUUGGUCUGCGCAGUGCAGUCGUCCCUCUCAGGGGCAGCCGUCCCGGGCCUGUCCCCUGGCUUCUACAAGACGACCUGCCCACGGCUGGAGCAAAUCGUGAACGCCCAAGUGACGGCGACCUUCAACAAUGACCAAGGUGUCGCUCCCGCCCUCCUGCGCAUCCUCUUCCACGACUGCUUUACGCAGGGCUGCGACGCGUCGGUGCUCAUCAAAGGCCGCGGCAGCGAGCAGAUCCCCGGCGGACCCAACGGGACUCUCCGCCGCGUGGCUCUGGACCUCAUCGAUCGCAUCCACCGCGAGGCCCAAGCUGCCUGCCCUCGGGUGGUCUCAUGCGCCGACGUUACCGUGCUCGCUACCCGCGACGCGCUGUUCAAGGCCGGCGGUCCCCGUUUCAACGUCGACCUGGGCCGGCUUGACUCGUUCGCCCCGGCGCCAGAUAAGGUUAACGACCUGCCCUCGCCCUUCGACGGCGCGGACAGGCACAUCCAGGCCUUCAAGGCCCGCAAACUCAGCACCGAUGACCUGGUUUCCCUCUCCGGCGCGCACACCUUCGGCGUGGCCCACUGCGGGGUCAUCGCACCCCGGGGCACCCCGUCCAUGGAUCCCCAGCUCGCCGAGAAGCUACGGAAGACGUGCACCAAACCCACGGCAACAACCACGCAAGACCUCGACGUCCUCACGCCGCACGUCUUCGACAACAAGUACUACCAGGGCCUGACCCAGAAGAAGGGGAUGUUCCUGUCCGACCAGUCGCUCAUCGACCACCCGCUCACCAAGAACCUCGCCCUCACCUUCUCCAAAAACCAGACAGCCUUCUUCAUCGAGUUCGCCAAGUCGAUGACCAAGAUGACCGAGAUGGGUGUGAUCACCAGCAAGCUGCAGGGCGAGGUCCGGGCCGACUGCACCGUCGCAGGGAAGCCCCCCCGCAUCGAGGCCGCCACCGCCGCCGACCAGGGGUUCACGGCCGACAUGUAA
rnacentral:rRNA from 1 species